UCGAGAAUCUUCGGCAAUGGACGCAAGUCUGACCGAGCGACGCCGCGUGCGGGAUGAAGGCCUUCGGGUUGUAAACCGCUGUCAGAGGGAAGGAAAUUUUGACCGAUCCUCAAAGGAAGUCCGGGCUAAGUUCGUGCCAGCAGCCGCGGUAACACGAACCGGACAAACGUUAUUCGGAAUUACUGGGCUUAAAGGGUGCGUAGGCGGCGUCAUAAGUCGGGUGUGAAAUCCCUCGGCUCAACCGAGGAACUGCGCCCGAUACUGUGGUGCUUGAGGGAGACAGAGGUGAGCGGAACUGAUGGUGGAGCGGUGAAAUGCGUUGAUAUCAUCAGGAACACCGGUGGCGAAGGCGGCUCACUGGGUCUCUUCUGACGCUGAGGCACGAAAGCUAGGGGAGCGAACGGGAUUAGAUACCCCCGUAGUCC
rnacentral:rRNA from 1 species